GCCACCUUGAGAAGCUGCGAAGAUGGCGGAGUAAGGCGUGCCGCUGCAAACUGGCCUCUGGGCCGGGGGCGAGCAGCCCCCGGGAGGCCGAGUGCAUCUGUUGGACCGUGCGAGGAGAAGAAAAAAAAUAUCGGCCAGAGGAGAGGAACUAACCGAACAUUCUUCCUCCCUACCUUAUAGAGGGGAGUGGUCAUCUACACUAAAGCAAAGUGUUAGGCGCGUCCGUGCGAAGAGACCACCAAACAGGCUUUGUGUUCCUUAUCACAGGAAGAAAAUUUUCCUUGACCUUUAGGUGCUUUUAUAUUCAUCUCAAAAACAAAAUUCUGAACUCAGGACUUGGCAAGAGGUGCAAGCGAAGAUGCAGUGCUACCUUAUUUUUCAUUUUUAUUUUUUGGAGACAGAGUCUCACUCUGUUGCCCAAGCUGAGUGCAGUGGUGCAAUCAUGGCUCACUGCAACCUCAACCUCCAGGGCUCAAGCGAUCCUCCUGCUUCAGCCUCCUCCAAAGUAGCUGGGACCACAAGAGGGCACCACCACGCCCUGCUAAUUUUUUAUUUUUUGUAGAGUGGGGUCUUGAUAUGUUGCCCAGGCUGGUCUCCAAUUCCUGGGCUCAAGGGAUCCCCCUGCCUCAGCCUCCCCAAAGUGCUGGGAUUACAGGUGUGAGCUGCUGCACCUGGCUCAGUGCUACUUUAAAACACAAAUGUGGCCGGGCCCAGUGGCUCACGCCUGUAAUCCCAAUACUUUGGGAGGCUGAGGCGAGUGGAUCACUUGAGGUGAGGAGUUUGAACCCAGCCUGGCCAACAUGGUGAAACCCCGUUUCUACUAAAAAUACAAAAAUUAGCCGGGUGUGGUGGUACAUGCCUGUAAUGCCAGCUACUUGGGAGGCUAAGGCAGGAGAAUCACUUGAACCCAGGGGGCAGAGGUUGCAAUGAGCUGAGAUCACAGCACUGCACUCCAGCCUGGGCAGCAGAGUAAGACUUUGUCUCAAAGAAAGAACAAAAACAAACAAAAAAAAAUGUUUUAUAUGCAAAAGUUUUUUGUAUCAUGCUUGUAUAAAUCCAGCUUUUUUUGUAUCAUGCUUGUAUUUUUUUUUUCUAGCUGUUAUUGCUUUUCUGAUAAUAGUACUGAAUUUGGUGUUAUGGUUGGUCAUUUUCUUCUAGAUAAUAUGUAAUCCAAAAUAUUCUUUUUUUUGUUUGUUUGUUUGUUUGUUUGAGACGGAGUCACGUUCUGUUGCCUGGGCUGGAGUGCACUGAUGCAAUCUUGGCUCACUGAAAUCUCUGCCUCCCAGGUUCAAGCGAUUCUCCUGCCUCGGCUUCCUGAGUAGCUGGGACUACAGGCACCCGUUACCACGCCCAGCUAAUUUUUGUAUCUUUAGUAGAGACGGGGUUUCACCAUGUUGGCCAGGCUGGUCUUGAACUCCGGACCUGGUGAUCCACCCACUUCGGCUUCCCGAAGUGCUGGGUUUACAGAUGUAAGCCACUGCACCCGGCCUAUUCUUUUCUUUACAUUUUAGAUAUUGUUUUGAGUCAGCUUAUGCAAAAGUACCUGUCCUAAUCUUUCUGUUUUUAUUUUGUAUUUCUAGGUGUCUCUAUGUUGUCUCCUAGAGUGGGUAGUCCUGCUUCUUUUACCCAGUUACUUUCCCGUUUUUGAAAUGUGGCUAUCACUUCUCUACACAUUACCUCCAUGAUUUGGAAUGGAAAAGGCCACUUUUCUUUUUGUUCUGCCUCUCAAAUUCAACACAGAGGAGCUCCUAGGAUUCCAGUUAUCCUGCUAACAUCUCCAGGAAGAAAGAAGCAACUCACAUGGGUCUUUUGCUGUUUGCUUAAUUAUAAAGACAUCAUUUUGCAAGCAGAAGGCUGAGUUUCAUUUGAAACAGGUGCUUAGGUGGUGGUAUUUGUGAAUACUUUUCAUUCCAAGCAAGAAGACUAAAGAAGUAGCAAGUAUGAAUGACUUCAGGGUUUAAAAAAAAUGUCUUCCAGUUUCAGCCACUACCAUGAUAAGCACAGUUGAGACUGCAGCAGUAAAUUCCAAAUAUGUGUUUCUAAUUUGACGUGAAAGAUACUAAAAAUUUAUAUUUGUAUAUUUAAAUCCUGGCUCAUCCUGUGACAUAGAUUUACUGAAUAGGAACAAAGGCCCAAUUUUAAACAAAAACCUAGGCCGGGUGUGGUGGCUCACACCUGUAAUCCCAACACUUUGGGAGGCCAAGGCAGGCAAAUCACCUGAGGUUGGGAGUUUGAGACCAGCCUGACCAACAUGGAGAAACCCCAUCUCUACUAAAAAUAGAAAAUUAGCCAGGUGUGGUGGUAGAUACGUGUAAUCCCAGCUACUCGUGAGGCUGAGGCAGGAGAAUUGCUUGAAUCCGGGAGGCGGAGGUUGCAGUGAACUGAGAUUGCACCACUGCACUCCAGCCUGGGCGACAGAGUGAGACUCCGUCUCAGAAAAAUAAAAAACAACUUUGGACAUAGAGGAGUUGGGGGCAGAGGGGGGAGGAUGAGAGAAUUUUCCAUGUAACUCCUUUUCCUUAAGAAAAAGAAGCAAAAAUCCCUCAUGCAGUGCCAUCUGACUUUAUGGUGUUUCACAUUAUAUAGUUACUUUUUUUAAUAAACGCAUAAGAUUAACUCUUCCUGCAACCCAAGGUGGAUACUUGGAUGUUUGAUUUUUAUUUAUUUAUUUAUUUAUUUUUUGAGGCAGUCUCUCUCUGUUGCCCAGGCUGGAGUGAUGCGUGAUUUCUGCUCACUGCAGUCUCUCCCACCCGGGUUCAAGCGAUUCUCCUGCCUCAGCCUCCCAAGUAGCUAGGAUUACAGGCGCGCACCACCACGCUCAGCCUGAUUUCUAGGCUGAAAAGGCUGGGACUCAGGUACUUUCCCCAGUUGGGACUGAACUUUCUCAUCAGAGAAUGGGCCUCAGAAGCAAUGUUCCCAAACUUGUGGUUGGGUCAUCGUGGAAAAGAAACCUCAAAUAAGAAAAAUAAUUACAAUAAGAAAUGGAUUUUCUUUUUUCCCACAACAGUUAUACAUUAUAAAGAACAGACUGUCGUAGAAAACUGUCUUUGCUUCCAAAUCAGCAGAGGACCAUUGUAUGUAUUGUCAGGUCUUUAUAUAAGAGUGAAACCUUUAUUUAUGCUUCUUGUGAGUAGAGAAUAAAUUUUAAAACUAAUUAGAUGAAAUUAAGAACAGAGUA
ensembl:lncRNA OIP5-AS1 OIP5 antisense RNA 1